rnacentral:snRNA from 1 species
AUACUUACCUGGCAGGGGAGAUACCAUGAUCAUGAAGGUGGUUUUCCAAGGGUGAGGCUUAUCCAUUGCACUCUGGAUGUAAUGACCCCUGCAAUUUUCCCAAAUGUGGGAAGCUCGACUGCAUAAUGUGUGAUAGUGGAGGAUUGUGUUCGUGCUCUCCCCUU